UCCUUCUUCAGAGCAGCUGCAUCAGAAGUCCCCCAACCCACCUGUCGUUCUUCGACUGUGCGCCGCUUUCGAUCUGGGCUCGGCCGCGUUCUUUCCUCUGACUCCCUUAUGGGGAGUUAACCAGUCAUGCUUGUACAACGAGUCUCAAAGUACGGCGGACGGGUAGACUGUCACCCGCUGCGGUCUUAGUCAAACGUUAACCCGACCUCACAUACCUUCCUUAUCUCUGUUAUCUGUUAUAUUUCAGACGUUUUGAAUCUACUAUCUACUAUCCUUGAAUUCUAUUUUCCUCACUUUUGAUACUUGAAGUGCUUCAGGUAUUUAACCUCCUCUGAUACACCCACCGACAAGGACGUGAACUCCAUUCUCUUGUGCACGUUGGCACAGCCAACGUUUGUUUUCCACCUCUGUUUUCAGACCUCACCUUUUUCUUUUUUUUCUUUUUCAGGACGUCCAACUGACCACCGUGGAACACUGAAACUCAGACAUAAACAGCGGUUGAGGAGGAGAGUCGCUGAAAAGAACUCUGCGGUCGGCAACACACCACCCGCUAGCCUGUUUCAGGUGUAAACAUGUGCCCCUCCUUCUCUGUCCUCGAGUGACUGGCAUGCCGUGUGCCCAGGCUGAGCCCUGAGUGUUCUAGCCUCCCUCCCUCCACCCCCGAGGGCUUGGGAGUGGUUGGGCCCAGUCGUCGUGUACCUGUAACUUUGCCAAGGCAGUAAAUCUGAGACCUGGCAGGGAGGGGGAAAAGAGGAGGAGAAGUAGGAAGUCCGUGUCGAGGGAGGCGGUGGACUGUGAUUGGUCUGAUUGGUGGUGCUGAUGGCGACGACCCAGGACAAGGGGUCACAGGGUGAUGUCACGGCGGCGGUGCGCGAGGAGUCCGAUGAGAGAAUACAGUCAAGACAAGAUGAAGAGGAGAAGGUCAUUAUUGCAGCUUGGUACAGUAUGUGUGUGGCCCUCCAACAACAGAGUCUGAAUGAGGGGUCCACAUCUUCAAGCCAAGCCCAGUCAUUCCUGGCCCAGCAGCGGCUGUCCACCCAGGCCCGGAGAAGCCUGGGACUCACCCCAAGGAUCCUGCCCAGGUAGGAGCACCUGAACCUGGGGCAGUGAGAAAGCCUAGGUAGUCCCCCUGUGGCUGUGGUGAGGAAGGAACCUGGAGGAAAUCCUUCUGCCCCGUUAUUGUGGAGGAAAUACAAAUGUUAGGUGCAUUGUUGCCCCCU